rnacentral:misc_RNA from 1 species
UUCAAUCUAAUAGGCUCCUUCAGAGGGCUCUGUCUAUCUUCAAGCUCUUCCUCUUCCUUUUUCAGGGGCGAUUUAGGGUCCUUCAAUGUGGCCCCUUCCAGAAGCUCCGUUUCCUUGCCUUUAAAGGCUCCGUUUCCAUUGACGAUUGAAAUGGCUCACAAGAAGGGAGCUGGGAGUACCAAGAACGGGCGUGACUCCAGAGGCCAACGUCUCGGCGUCAAGAUUUUCGGCGAUCAACUGGCUAAACCCGGCGCGAUUAUCGUCCGCCAGCGCGGCACCAAGUUUCAUCCGGGGAAGAAUGUGGGGCUUGGCAAGGAUCACACUAUUUUUUCCUUGAUUGACGGACUUGUAAAAUUUGAGAAGUUAGGACCUGACAAGAAGAAGGUGAGUGUUUAUCCACGAGAAGUUCAGCCUGAGAAUCCCAACAGCUAUCGAGCACGGAAGAGAGAGUACUUUAGGUUGCAGCGCGAACGUAAGAAGGCAAGAAAGGAAGGCAUUGUUCCGGAGCCGCAACUCGUCCUUGCUUCCAAUGUUGAUGCCACAAAUAACAACCCUAUAUGUUGAUUUGAAAGCAGCCUUAUUUUUUAGGGUAUUUUU